GACGAACGCUGGCGGCGUGCUUAACACAUGCAAGUCGAACGAAGUGGCGAACGGGUGAGUAACGCGUAAUCAACCUGCCCUUCAGCGGGGGACAACAGUUGGAAACGACUGCUAAUACCGCAUACUGAAGGAGGGGAUUGCGUCUGAUUAGCUCGUUGGAGGGGUAACGGCCCACCAAGGCGAGGAUCAGUAGCCGGUCUUGGAGGAUGACCGGCCACAUGGGGACUGAGACACGGCCCAGACUCCUACGGGAGGCAGCAGUGGGGAAUCUUCCGCAAUGGACGAAAGUCUGACGGAGCAACGCCGGGUGAGUGAUGGAGGCCUUCGGGUUGUAAAGCUCUGUUAAGCGGGACGCGGUACCAGAAUAGAAAGCCACGGCUAACUACGUGCCAGCAGCCGCGGUAAUUC
rnacentral:rRNA from 1 species